GCAUAUGUAAAAGCUUGCUCUCUAUUUUUAUCCCAAAUGUGUGCCGUGUAUGCUAGGUAUAUUAUAUGGAAUUGGAAAGUAACUCUUGAAGUGCCAUUUCUGUUUCAAUUUUUUGCUUCUAAUGUAUAUCCAUGCAUGCAGGUUUCUCAUCCAUACUGUUUUGAAUGCUUUAAGGCAUAAAAAAAUUAGUGAUGUUUCAUAUGCACACUUAUUCAGCUAUCUCAAGGUUGCUAACAAUUUAAUACGUGACCCAUUAUUUUUC
rnacentral:lncRNA from 1 species